rnacentral:rRNA from 1 species
AACGCUAGCUACAGGCUUAACACAUGCAAGUCGAGGGGCAGCAUGGUCUUAGCUUGCUAAGGCCGAUGGCGACCGGCGCACGGGUGAGUAACACGUAUCCAACCUGCCGUCUACUCUUGGACAGCCUUCUGAAAGGAAGAUUAAUACAAGAUGGCAUCAUGAGUCCGCAUGUUCACAUGAUUAAAGGUAUUCCGGUAGACGAUGGGGAUGCGUUCCAUUAGAUAGUAGGCGGGGUAACGGCCCACCUAGUCUUCGAUGGAUAGGGGUUCUGAGAGGAAGGUCCCCCACAUUGGAACUGAGACACGGUCCAAACUCCUACGGGAGGCAGCAGUGAGGAAUAUUGGUCAAUGGGCGAGAGCCUGAACCAGCCAAGUAGCGUGAAGGAUGACUGCCCUAUGGGUUGUAAACUUCUUUUAUAAAGGAAUAAAGUCGGGUAUGGAUACCCGUUUGCAUGUACUUUAUGAAUAAGGAUCGGCUAACUCCGUGCCAGCAGCCGCGGUAAUACGGAGGAUCCGAGCGUUAUCCGGAUUUAUUGGGUUUAAAGGGAGCGUAGAUGGAUGUUUAAGUCAGUUGUGAAAGUUUGCGGCUCAACCGUAAAAUUGCAGUUGAUACUGGAUAUCUUGAGUGCAGUUGAGGCAGGCGGAAUUCGUGGUGUAGCGGUGAAAUGCUUAGAUAUCACGAAGAACUCCGAUUGCGAAGGCAGCCUGCUAAGCUGCAACUGACAUUGAGGCUCGAAAGUGUGGGUAUCAAACAGGAUUAGAUACCCUGGUAGUCCACACGGUAAACGAUGAAUACUCGCUGUUUGCGAUAUACAGCAAGCGGCCAAGCGAAAGCGUUAAGUAUUCCACCUGGGGAGUACGCCGGCAACGGUGAAACUCAAAGGAAUUGACGGGGGCCCGCACAAGCGGAGGAACAUGUGGUUUAAUUCGAUGAUACGCGAGGAACCUUACCCGGGCUUAAAUUGCAGAUGAAUUACGGUGAAAGCCGUAAGCCGCAAGGCAUCUGUGAAGGUGCUGCAUGGUUGUCGUCAGCUCGUGCCGUGAGGUGUCGGCUUAAGUGCCAUAACGAGCGCAACCCUUGUUGUCAGUUACUAACAGGUUCCGCUGAGGACUCUGACAAGACUGCCAUCGUAAGAUGUGAGGAAGGUGGGGAUGACGUCAAAUCAGCACGGCCCUUACGUCCGGGGCUACACACGUGUUACAAUGGGGGGUACAGAGGGCCGCUACCACGCGAGUGGAUGCCAAUCCCCAAAACCUCUCUCAGUUCGGACUGGAGUCUGCAACCCGACUCCACGAAGCUGGAUUCGCUAGUAAUCGCGCAUCAGCCACGGCGCGGUGAAUACGUUCCCGGGCCUUGUACACACCGCCCGUCAAGCCAUGGGAGCCGGGGGUACCUGAAGUGCGUAACCGCGAGGAGCGCCCUAGGGUAAAACUGGUGACUGGGGC